GAAUAAGUUAUUCUCCGAAUUAUAAUUCCUAAGGCUUUGGCUAUGGAUUAUAAUCGAUGGGUAUUGUUGGAAACGGCAGUGCCUUCCGCGUUUGAAAAGGGGAAUUAAUGGUUCUCCU
rnacentral:ncRNA from 1 species